rnacentral:rRNA from 1 species
AUUGAACGCUGGCGGCAGGCUUAACACAUGCAAGUCGAGCGGAGAUGAGGUGCUUGCACCUUAUCUUAGCGGCGGACGGGUGAGUAAUGCUUAGGAAUCUGCCUAUUAGUGGGGGACAACAUUCCGAAAGGAAUGCUAAUACCGCAUACGUCCUACGGGAGAAAGCAGGGGAUCUUCGGACCUUGCGCUAAUAGAUGAGCCUAAGUCGGAUUGGCUAGUUGGUGGGGUAAAGGCCUACCAAGGCGACGAUCUGUAGCGGGUCUGGGAGGAUGAUCCGCCACACUGGGACUGAGACCCGGCCCAGACUCCUACGGGAGGCAGCAGUGGGGAAUAUUGGACAAUGGGGGGAACCCUGAUCCAGCCAUGCCGCGUGUGUGAAGAAGGCCUUAUGGUUGUAAAGCACUUUAAGCGAGGAGGAGGCUACUGAGACUAAUACUCUUGGAUAGUGGACGUUACUCGCAGAAUAAGCACCGGCUAACUCUGUGCCAGCCGCCGCCGUAACAC